CUGGGGAACAGCCUCCUGUGAUGAACCUUCUCUCUCUGAUGGCUCUAUGGCUGUGCUGGUGAUGAUCAUCAAGCCAAAGCCUCUAAGAAGUUGGCUGAAGAGGCUGUUCCUCU
rnacentral:snoRNA from 1 species